UUGAAAGCUAUAUUUGCACAAUAUUGUUUUGUGUCUUCCAGAAUGGACACCUUCCCGAAGUGUUCUGUCUGUCAGCAGCAGUUUACCCUGAAAGGCCCCGCCCCCUACCUACUGCCCUGUCUACACGCUGUGUGUGAGAUGUGUGUGACAUCUGCAGCUGGUGGUGUGAUAUCAUGCUCUACUUGUCAGAGGGAGGUCAACCUCACGGAAGCAAGUCUCCAGAAGGAUGAAGUUAGGCAACAAGAAAUAUUCCACCUGGCAAUCAAACAUUGUCCCACAAAGCUUCUCUGUACACAUGAAGAUGACGGAAACCAGGCUGUGUGUUGGUGUCAAGAGUGUGAAGAGUUACUCUGUGAAUAUUGCCAGAACAUGCACAGCAGCUUCAGACUCUCAAGGAAUCACUCCGUGUACAACUUUGUGGAUAUUGCCCCUCAAAAUCUAGUGCGUGAAACAAAUUGCAGAAUACACAAUCGUUAUCCUCUUGAUUUGUUUGACAAAAGCUGCAACACAUCUAUCUGUAGCCGAUGUUUGAGAGGAGAGCAUGCUGGUCACGAGGUGGAAGAUCUGGAUGAGGCAGCUUUAGGAGGUAAACAACGGAUUGAACAACACGUCAAAGAUCUAUCCUCGCUACUGACCGAUCAGCAAACACAUCUUCAGAGUAUCAGACAAGACAGAAAGUUUACAGACAGCACACAGAACACACUGAAGGGUACUAUCGCACUGACGUUCCAGUCUUUACGGUCUCAACUUGACCAGAGGGAGAAAGAACUCCUGAUUGAUCUUGAAAGUCAGACAAAGGAAACCAAGGAAACUCUACAUGCUCUUCAAACCUCAUGUGAAACCGAACAUGUCAGAUGUAACGAUGUUGCAGGAUACAUUAGGAAGAGUCUUCUCUAUGCCUCAAAGUCGGCACUCCUGAAGCUUGAGAGUUCUGUUGAUAGGGUAACUCGAACCUACCUAGAAACUGCUUCACCUCAAACAUAUGACGUUGCAACAGCUGUCUUCAACACCAACGGUCUGUCCAAACUGAAGUCAGAUAUGUCUGGAUUUGGUACCAUCAGUGCUUUGAAAGAGGAAACAACAAGAGACAGGACUGAUGACAAGGAAACACAGACCGAUGACAUUUUUGCGACCCUGAAACAGAAACACGAAAUGGAGCUUGCAGAACUGAAAUCGAAUUUUGCUUCAGACAAAGAAAGACUUCAGCAGCUCACUGACCAGUUGAAUGCUGAAUCUGACAACAUGAAACUGAUGCUAGCUGAGAAAGACAGAAGCUUACAAGCCGCUUCAGAAACCAUCCUGAAUACAUAAGAAGACCCGUGGGAAUGCGAGUCGAUGUGUAUACUACUGGAAUAAUUCACUACAGUGUGUGUCCACCAUACUGAUUCUAGGCUUGACGUUAACGUUGCUCCAUUUCAUCCCAAGCGUGCUCGAUAGGGGUCAGGUCCGGAGAAACAGAUGGACAGGGGAGUGUCGGAAGGUUCUGCUGUCACAAAACAUGUGGACGGGCAUUAUGGUGCUGCAGCGUGAAGUUACGUCCCUGAAUGGACGCUUGUAAAGUGAUCUCAGAACUGUCUGGCAGACCUGUUAGAUUGCAAUUGACAAUGACAAGUUGUGUCCGACCAUGAGAUGCGAUGACUCCCCAUACCAUAAUACCGUCACCACCACCACCACCACCACCGGACAUUGAACAACGGACGCGUCAGCUGUACACCCUUGUCCUGAAAUUUCGACUGAUCAGGGGACAAUUCACCAUCCCAAUCUUGUUUCUUGUACCGGAGAUGCUGUCUGCGCCAGACAAGAUGUGCCUGUCGGUGACGUUGGAGCAAAACUGGACGCAUUGCAGGCUGUCAGUGCCGCAUAUUGUGCUCCCUCAGUCGGUUCCGUACAGUCCUGGAACGGAUAAGCCAGGAAUGGUCCGAGUAGUCUGGAAACGAUUCAUUAAAUGGGUCAUCCGAAUGUGGUUGUCUUGCUGACGUGACGUCACGCGUGGACGACAAAUCUCUCGUGUUCCCAUUAUCUCCAUAGACAUGAGUGUUUUGAUGGACUCCAAAAUGUCUGACCACUUCAUUUUGGGCCUUUUGCAGUCUUCAGCACACCCACGGUGUAGAGACGCUGAUUUUCUGUUACCCUAAAGGCUGCGUUCAUGUCUUGAAGACGGAUGUGCCAGACAGACACAUGGUCCUGCAUUAUACACCACUGAAGCAUGACAAAGACAGAGUCAAUCUCGACAAAGUCCACAUCAACACAGAAGGAGACCUGGUCAACAGGAGUCGGACACCAGACCUGCAGGGGAGGGGAGACUGAAGAAG
rnacentral:misc_RNA from 1 species